UGGGGAAUAUUGCACAAUGGGCGCAAGCCUGAUGCAGCCAUGCCGCGUGUAUGAAGAAGGCCUUCGGGUUGUAAAGUACUUUCAGCGGGGAGGAAGGCGAUAAGGUUAAUAACCUUGUCGAUUGACGUUACCCGCAGAAGAAGCACCGGCUAACUCCGUGCCAGCAGCCGCGGUAAUACGGAGGGUGCAAGGGUUAAUCGGAAUUACUGGGCGUAAAGCGCACGCAGGCGGUCUGUCAAGUCGGAUGUGAAAUCCCCGGGCUCAACCUGGGAACUGCAUUCGAAACUGGCAGGCUAGAGUCUUGUAGAGGGGGGUAGAAUUCCAGGUGUAGCGGUGAAAUGCGUAGAGAUCUGGAGGAAUACCGGUGGCGAAGGCGGCCCCCUGGACAAAGACUGACGCUCAGGUGCGAAAGCGUGGGGAGCAAACA
rnacentral:rRNA from 1 species